AAACAGAGCCCGCACGGGAUGAAGCAGAGGAGGGAGUCAGAGUGGGAAUCACUCCAUCAACCUGAGCCACCACUGGACCCCAGGGAAAGUCACCCUCCUGCACCUAAAAGGUAGGAAACAGGAGGGUGUCUUAAACAUUUUUUAUGGGUGUGUGUGUAUGUCUGUAUGGAUGUGUGCCUGUCUGUUUGUAUGUAUGUAUGU